UACGGAGGGGGUUAGCGUUGUUCGGAAUGACUGGGCGUAAAGCGCGCGUAGGCGGAUCAGGAAGUUGGGGGUGAAAUCCCGGGGCUCAACCCCGGAAUGGCCUUCAAAACUCCUGGUCUUGAGUUCGAGAGAGGUGAGUGGAAUUCCGAGUGUAGAGGUGAAAUUCGUAGAUAUUCGGAGGAACACCAGUGGCGAAGGCGGCUCACUGGCUCGACACUGACGCUGAGGUGCGAAAGCGUGGGGGGCAAACAGG
rnacentral:rRNA from 1 species